AAAUUGAAGAGUUUGAUCAUGGCUCAGAUUGAACGCUGGCGGCAGGCCUAACACAUGCAAGUCGAACGGUAACAGGAAGCAGCUUGCUGCUUCGCUGACGAGUGGCGGACGGGUGAGUAAUAUCUGGGAAACUGCCUGAUGGAGGGGGAUAACUACUGGAAACGGUGGCUAAUACCGCAUAACGUCGCAAGACCAAAGAGGGGGACCUUCGGGCCUCUUGCCAUCAGAUGUGCCCAGAUGGGAUUAGCUUGUUGGUGAGGUAA
rnacentral:rRNA from 1 species